rnacentral:rRNA from 1 species
ACGAACGCUGGCGGCGUGCCUAACACAUGCAAGUCGAGCGGAGACAGGGAGUAGCUUGCUAUGAACUGUUUUAGCGGCGGACGGGUGAGUAACGCGUGAGCAACCUUUCCCAGACAGGGGAAUAACACACCGAAAGGUGUACUAAUACCGCAUAAGACCACGGGAUCACAUGGUUCUGGGGUAAAAGAUUUAUCGGUUUGGGGUGGGCUCGCGUCCGAUUAGGUAGUUGGUGAGGUAACGGCCCACCAAGCCGACGAUCGGUAGCCGACCUGAGAGGGUGAUCGGCCACAUUGGGACUGAGACACGGCCCAAACUCCUACGGGAGGCAGCAGUGGGGAAUAUUGGGCAAUGGGGGGAACCCUGACCCAGCAACGCCGCGUGGAGGAAGAAGGUUUUCGGAUCGUAAACUCCUGUCCUUGGAGACGAGUAGAAGACGGUAUCCAAGGAGGAAGCCCCGGCUAACUACGUGCCAGCAGCCGCGGUAAUACGUAGGGGGCAAGCGUUGUCCGGAAUAAUUGGGCGUAAAGGGCGCGUAGGCGGCUCGGUAAGUCUGGAGUGAAAGUCCUGCUUUUAAGGUGGGAAUUGCUUUGGAUACUGUCGGGCUUGAGUGCAGGAGAGGUUAGUGGAAUUCCCAGUGUAGCGGUGAAAUGCGUAGAGAUUGGGAGGAACACCAGUGGCGAAGGCGACUAACUGGACUGUAACUGACGCUGAGGCGCGAAAGUGUGGGGAGCAAACAGGAUUAGAUACCCUGGUAGUCCACACCGUAAACGAUGGAUACUAGGUGUAGGGGAUAAUAAAUCUUCUGUGCCGCCGCAAACGCAAUAAGUAUCCCACCUGGGGAGUACGGCCGCAAGGUUGAAACUCAAAGGAAUUGACGGGGGCCCGCACAAGCAGCGGAGCAUGUGGUUUAAUUCGACGCAACGCGAAGAACCUUACCAGGUCUUGACAUCCACUUAAACUUACAGAGAUGUAAGGUGUGCUUGCACAAAGUGAGACAGGUGGUGCAUGGUUGUCGUCAGCUCGUGUCGUGAGAUGUUGGGUUAAGUCCCGCAACGAGCGCAACCCUUAUUGCUAGUUGCCAGCACGUCAUGGUGGGAACUCUAGUGAGACUGCCGGGGACAACUCGGAGGAAGGUGGGGACGACGUCAAAUCAUCAUGCCCCUUAUGACCUGGGCUACACACGUGCUACAAUGGCCACGACAGAGAGAAGCGAAAUCGCAAGGUAGAGCGGAACUCAAAAAAGUGGUCCCAGUUCGGAUUGUGGGCUGCAACCCGCCCACAUGAAGUCGGAGUUGCUAGUAAUCGCGGAUCAGCAUGCCGCGGUGAAUACGUUCCCGGGCCUUGUACACACCGCCCGUCACACCAUGAGAGUUGGGAAUACCCGAAGCCUGUGAGCUAACUGAAAAGAGGCAGCAGUCGAAGGUAGAAUCAAUGAUUGGGGUG